GGGGUUGUGGCUCAGUGGUAGAGCGCUUGCCUCGCAUGCAUGAGGCCCUGGGUUCAAUCCUCAGUACCA
rnacentral:tRNA from 1 species